rnacentral:rRNA from 1 species
GUGAAGCCAAGCUUGCUUGGUGGAUCAGUGGCGAACGGGUGAGUAACACGUGAGCAACCUGCCCUGAACUCUGGGAUAAGCGCUGGAAACGGCGUCUAAUACUGGAUAUGAGCUGCGGAGGCAUCUUCGUGGUUGGAAAGAUUUUUCGGUUUGGGAUGGGCUCGCGGCCUAUCAGCUUGUUGGUGAGGUAAUGGCUCACCAAGGCGUCGACGGGUAGCCGGCCUGAGAGGGUGACCGGCCACACUGGGACUGAGACACGGCCCAGACUCCUACGGGAGGCAGCAGUGGGGAAUAUUGCACAAUGGGCGGAAGCCUGAUGCAGCAACGCCGCGUGAGGGAUGACGGCCUUCGGGUUGUAAACCUCUUUUAGCAGGGAAGAAGCGAAAGUGACGGUACCUGCAGAAAAAGCGCCGGCUAACUACGUGCCAGCAGCCGCGGUAAUACGUAGGGCGCAAGCGUUAUCCGGAAUUAUUGGGCGUAAAGAGCUCGUAGGCGGUUUGUCGCGUCUGCUGUGAAAACCCGAGGCUCAACCUCGGGCCUGCAGUGGGUACGGGCAGACUAGAGUGCGGUAGGGGAGAUUGGAAUUCCUGGUGUAGCGGUGGAAUGCGCAGAUAUCAGGAGGAACACCGAUGGCGAAGGCAGAUCUCUGGGCCGUAACUGACGCUGAGGAGCGAAAGGGUGGGGAGCAAACAGGCUUAGAUACCCUGGUAGUCCACCCCGUAAACGUUGGGAACUAGUUGUGGGGUCCAUUCCACGGAUUCCGUGACGCAGCUAACGCAUUAAGUUCCCCGCCUGGGGAGUACGGCCGCAAGGCUAAAACUCAAAGGAAUUGACGGGGACCCGCACAAGCGGCGGAGCAUGCGGAUUAAUUCGAUGCAACGCGAAGAACCUUACCAAGGCUUGACAUACACGAGAACGCUGCAGAAAUGUAGAACUCUUUGGACACUCGUGAACAGGUGGUGCAUGGUUGUCGUCAGCUCGUGUCGUGAGAUGUUGGGUUAAGUCCCGCAACGAGCGCAACCCUCGUUCUAUGUUGCCAGCACGUAAUGGUGGGAACUCAUGGGAUACUGCCGGGGUCAACUCGGAGGAAGGUGGGGAUGACGUCAAAUCAUCAUGCCCCUUAUGUCUUGGGCUUCACGCAUGCUACAAUGGCCGGUACAAAGGGCUGCAAUACCGCGAGGUGGAGCGAAUCCCAAAAAGCCGGUCCCAGUUCGGAUUGAGGUCUGCAACUCGACCUCAUGAAGUCGGAGUCGCUAGUAAUCGCAGAUCAGCAACGCUGCGGUGAAUACGUUCCCGGGUCUUGUACACACCGCCCGUCAAGUCAUGAAAGUCGGUAACACCUGAAGCCGGUGGCCCAACCCUUGUGGAGGGAGCCGUCGAAGGUGGGAUCGGUAAUU